rnacentral:sRNA from 1 species
CAGAAUUGUUCGUGAUAUUAGUAUUUACUGGUGAAGCUAUGAAGAAUGUGGAGAGAAAGAGCGAAGCUAGAAGGCUGUAACUCUAGGCUGUGUGUGGGCAGGGGCAGAUACUCUGCUCCUCCUUGCAGAGCCCAGACUUUUGGAAACCUCAAGCCUCCAAGCGGAAGGGGAAGGGUGGGAUGCAAAGGGGCUGUCUACUACCCGUGUCCUACCUUCCUCUCUCCAGCUUGUGAGGACCCCCCAGCAGUGCUCUUAGAAGUGCAGGGCACCUUACAGAGGCCCCUGGUCCGGGACAGCCGCACCUCCCCUGCCAACUGCACCUGGCUUAUCCUGGGCAGCAAGGAACAGACUGUCACCAUCAGGUUCCAGAAGCUACACCUGGCCUGUGGCUCAGAGCGCUUAACCCUACGCUCCCCUCUCCAGCCACUGAUCUCCCUGUGUGAGGCACCUCCCAGCCCUCUGCAGCUGCCCGGGGGCAACGUCACCAUCACUUACAGCUAUGCUGGGGCCAGAGCACCCAUGGGCCAGGGCUUCCUGCUCUCCUACAGCCAAGAUUGGCUGAUGUGCCUGCAGGAAGAGUUUCAGUGCCUGAACCACCGCUGUGUAUCUGCUGUCCAGCGCUGUGAUGGGGUUGAUGCCUGUGGCGAUGGCUCUGAUGAAGCAGGUUGCAGCUCAGACCCCUUCCCUGGCCUGACCCCAAGACCCGUCCCCUCCCUGCCUUGCAAUCUCACCUUGGAGGACUUCUAUGGGGUCUUCUCCUCUCCUGGAUAUACACACCUAGCCUCAGUCUCCCACCCCCAGUCCUGCCAUUGGCUGCUGGACCCCCAUGAUGGCCGGCGGCUGGCCGUGCGCUUCACAGCCCUGGACUUGGGCUUUGGAGAUGCAGUGCAUGUGUAUGACGGCCCUGGGCCCCCUGAGAGCUCCCGACUACUGCGUAGUCUCACCCACUUCAGCAAUGGCAAGGCUGUCACUGUGGAGACACUGUCUGGCCAGGCUGUUGUGUCCUACCACACAGUUGCUUGGAGCAAUGGUCGUGGCUUCAAUGCCACCUACCAUGUGCGGGGC